ensembl:lncRNA
GGCUGAGUUCCAUGGCCAAAACCUGGAUGAAAUCACAAUAGGGCCAGAUGACAUGGUCAUUUGUCCUGUUGAGACUGAUGAGACAGCUAAAACCAGGGGACGACACGAUUCAUCUCAAGAAGAGACUCUUCCACUGACAGAAGAAGAAGGCCCCCCCACUGACAGAGGAAGAAGGCCCCCCACCAACACGCAAGAGAGAUACACCAUCAGCAGCAGAAGAUGACCGUGUCGGAGCCGCAACACCUGUUGAAGGUUGUUUUUUUUAAUUCCUUCUUUGAUUUUAGCAGAAUAAGUACAAUGGACACCAGAAAAUUACAAAAAAAUAUCUCAGACAUGGCCUUCUCUUCAUCAGAAAACAGCAGCCCAACUAUCAUAAAGGUGAAUAUAGCUUUGGCCACUGUAACUGUAAGCCUGAAUGCAUUAAACAAUGGCUGGGUAGACAGUGAAAAAUAUCUGAUACUGCUGGUUCUGUAAUUCUGAACAUCGACGUGUCCCUGAAUCGAGAUCGAGGGUCCAUUUUCGAUUAAUUGCCCAGCCCUACUGGUACCUGUACUUUUUAUUUUUUAUUUUUUUACCUGCUCCUUCAGGUUUCCACAAAAGCAGCCUCGUACUUUAUAAAAAGUGACCUCGACACAUUGCAGACACUGAUUGGUUCCGAGUUUUGUCACGGACAAUAACCACGCACGGGGUAAAAGUGUCUAGGCAUCAGUUGCAGCAGCCAAAAAGGGCACGCCAUGCUCUUUGGGGGAGCUACAAACCUUCAUGUUGCUCACUUGCGAAACGACAGAAAGGCUGGAUGACUCCACUCAUAUCUAGCAAGUGGACCAGCAGCUUUAUGGAAGUCCUGUGCGUCAUCCAGGG